GUAAGUAAAAGUCGUAACAAGGUUUCCGUAGGUGAACCUGCGGAAGGAUCAUUAUUGAAUGAAACACUUCUGGCUUUAUGCCGUUGUGCUGGCCCUUUGGGCAAUGUGCACACGGCUCUGGUCACUUGUUUCUUCUGUUCCACCUGUGCACUGCCUGUAGACACGCUGUGUCUAUGAUAUUUGUUAACACACAACAAUGUUAGUUGGCAUGUUAUAUAUAAUAAUAAAAUAUACAACUUUCAACAACGGAUCUCUUGGCUCCC
rnacentral:misc_RNA from 1 species